GCUUCCUGGGCCGGCCGGGACCGCCCGGGCCGUCGGCCGUCCCGGCCGCGUAAGGGGCGGUGGGCGGUCCGAAGCCGCCGGGAGGCG
rnacentral:tRNA from 1 species